rnacentral:tRNA from 1 species
GGUGGCAUAGUGUAACGGUAGCACGCCUGCCGAUUAGAGGAUCAUAAUUUGAAAGCAGGAAGUGCGGGUUCGAACCCCGAUGCCCCCA